rnacentral:rRNA from 1 species
GACGAACGCUGGCGGCGUGCUUAACACAUGCAAGUCGAACGGAAAGGCCCUGCUUUUGUGGGGUGCUCGAGUGGCGAACGGGUGAGUAACACGUGAGUAACCUGCCCUUGACUUUGGGAUAACUUCAGGAAACUGGGGCUAAUACCGGAUAGGAGCUCCUGCUGCAUGGUGGGGGUUGGAAAGUUUCGGCGGUUGGGGAUGGACUCGCGGCUUAUCAGCUUGUUGGUGGGGUAGUGGCUUACCAAGGCUUUGACGGGUAGCCGGCCUGAGAGGGUGACCGGCAACAUUGGGACUGAGAGACGGCCCAGACUCCGACGGGAGGCAGCAGUGGGGAAUAUUGCACAAGGGGCGGAAGCAUGAUGCAGAAACGCCGCGUGCGGGAUGACGGCCUUCGGGGUGUAAACCGCUUUCGCCUGUGACGAAGCGUGAGUGACGGGAAUGGGUAAAGAAGCACCGGCUAACUACGG